AUCCCAUGAUGAGGACAAGCGGUGACGUAUUCCUGUAGCCUUUCCCACGCUUCCAGGAUCGUCUCAUCUUUCGUCUGCUGGAAGUUGGAUAUUCUUCCACGAAGGGC
rfam:Oryza punctata chromosome 11, whole genome shotgun sequence.